AUGGAACACGACUCCGGCAACACACCCGCCCUGAUCCACUGGGAACAAACCGCUCAGAGACCUGAGGUGGGACCCAGAUCCCGGCGCCCAGAGCAAGUCAAGUCCGGCCCGCCGGAGCUGUGUCACGAAGCGAGUCUAUGGAGGCAGAUGAACCCUGAAAGCCAUAUGUUGAAGAAGCACAAGAUGGAAGGAGGCUGAGUUUCUGGGUCACUGUCAGACUAGAAAGGUUUAUGUGUACUCUUGGAUAAAUAUUGAGCCAUUGCCAUGUAUAAACCACCAUGCUGGGCCCUAUAGGCAAUGCAAAAAGAAUAUGACAGACUGUCUCACAGUGUCUGCCCUCCAGGAUCUUAAAUUUUUGAGGUAAGAUCUAUUCAAAUACAUAAUAUGGAAUACUAUGUUAUAAAUGCCAAGAGUUAUAGGCAGUAAGUGAUGCAGGGACUUAAUCCUGAGAAGGGAUACAGAAUCCCUCACUGAGGCAAUUAGAGGAGCUUUAUCAGUAGAGACAGCAUUUGUGAUGCAUCUUCCAAAAAGGGAAGAUUUGAUGUAUUGAAUAAAUUGAACAGCUAUACCCAAAGCAUACAAAACAAGGCAGGAUGGUUUCUGGCAAGGGUGUCUUCAGACCCUUCCAUGAUUUUAAUAGAUAGAUUGAGGCAUUCUUGACACAUGUUGAUUGGCAUGAUUCUGGGAUUGUUUGACAAGUCCAUUAUCCAUAAAAAUAAGCAGAUUUGGGGUCCCUAGUACAUAGGGUGAAGUAAAAAUCGUUCUCACAUUAUAAUGCAGAAUUGUAACAAAUAUAGAUUUGGUAUUGGGAAACUUAAGUUCAGAUUCUGACUUCACAGGAUAAGCAGAAAUAGUCACUCAAUGUCUUUGAGCCUAUAUUAAUUCAUAGUAUGUUAUAACUCAUCAUAUGUAUUUUAUUUGCUUCAACUACAACUUUCAUGAUAUAUUUGCAAGAAAUAUGUUCCAGAGGAAAAAAAAAAGUCUUCAGCUAGGUCAGGUUUUAUUACAAGUAGCUCUACCAUUUUAACUCUUAUAGCCAGUAGAUCCAAUGAUGCUUGAAGUGUUUAUGGCAGGUUAGGAUGAGAUAUGGAACUAGUAUUAAGGUCGAGUAGAAAAAUCACAACAGAAAGGCUGAAGAAAACUUGCAUCCUCUUCAUCAUGCAUUAUUAAAACAUAGCCCUGGGCUUGCUACUGAAUCUUCGUAGAUACUGAGUAUCUGAACAGAUGACCAUGUUACCUGAGUUGUGACCCGUUUUUCACUGGGUGUUUUCUGAUCCAUCUAGACAAAGAACUUUCAACAUUUCUUUUAGUGCCCUUCUGCUAGAGCCAAACAAGUUUUAUAUGUCUGAACAAAUCUAUGUCACUGUAAUUUUUGAAGGAUAUUUUCAUAAGUUACAAAAUUCUAAAUUGACAGUUUUCUUUUUCCUUCAGCAUUUUAAAGAUGUCAGGCAGGAGAGGGACAGAGAAAGAGGGAGGCACAGAAUCCAGUGAAAUGCUCUACCCCUGAGCUAUACCCCCGUGAGGCACAGAAUCCAAAGCAGGCUCCAGGCUCUGGCUCUGAGCUGUCAGCACAGAGCCCAACGCGGGGUUCAAACUCACCAACCGUGAGAUCAUGACCUGAGCCAAAGUAGGAUACUUAACUGACUGAGCCAUCCAGGUCUCCUAGGAGUAUCUGAUUUUAAGAUUUUCUCUUCUCUGUUUUUCAGAUGUUUGACUUUGUAUUUAUCCUAUUUGAGAUCCACU